rnacentral:SRP_RNA from 1 species
CCUUUAGCCCUGUGCAAUGUGCAGGCGAGGCACUGGGUCAGGAUGGGAACAUAGCAGCCCACCUUUUCUGUGCAUGUGCCGCAGGUAUCUGGAGGAGA